UACGUAGGGUGCGAGCGUUGUCCGGAAUUAUUGGGCGUAAAGAGCUCGUAGGCGGCUUGUCGCGUCGGAUGUGAAAGCCCGGGGCUUAACCCCGGGUCUGCAGUGGAUACGGGCAGGCUAGAGGUAGGUAGGGGAGAAUGGAAUUCCCGGUGUAGCGGUGAAAUGCGUAGAUAUUGGGAGGAACACCAGUGGCGAAGGCGGCUCACUGGACCGGUACUGACGCUGAUGCGCGAAAGCGUGGGGAGCAAACAGG
rnacentral:rRNA from 1 species